AGUGAACGCUGGCGGUAGGCCUAACACAUGCAAGUCGAACGGCAGCACAGUAAGAGCUUGCUCUUACGGGUGGCGAGUGGCGGACGGGUGAGGAAUACAUCGGAAUCUACUUUUUCGUGGGGGAUAACGUAGGGAAACUUACGCUAAUACCGCAUACGACCUACGGGUGAAAGCAGGGGAUCUUCGGACCUUGCGCGAUUGAAUGAGCCGAUGUCGGAUUAGCUAGUUGGCGGGGUAAAGGCCCACCAAGGGGGCGAUCCGUAGCUGGUGUGAGAGGAGGGUAGGCGGCACGGGAAGGUAGACAGGGUCAAGACGCCUGAGGGAGGGAGCAGUCGGGAAUGGUGGACAAUGGGGGCGAGCCUGAUCCAGCGAUACGGCGUGGGUGAAGGAGACGUUCGGGUUGUAAAGACCUUUUGUUGGGAAAGAAAAGCAGCCGGUUAAUACCACGCUGUCGUGACGGUACCGGAAGAAUAAGCACCGGCUAACUUCGUG
rnacentral:rRNA from 1 species